GAUGAAGAACCCAGCGAAAUGCGAUAAGUAAUGUGAAUUGCAGAAUUCAGUGAAUCAUCGAAUCUUUGAACGCACAUUGCGCCCGCCAGUAUUCUGGCGGGCAUGCCUGUUCGAGCGUCAUUUCAACCAUCAAGCCCCAGGCUUGUGUUGGGGACCUGCGGCUGCCGCAGGCCCUGAAAACCAGUGGCGGGCUCGCUGUCACACCGGGCGUAGUAGAUUUUAUCUCGCUCAGGGCGUGCUGCGGGUUCCGGCCGUUAAAAAGCCUUUUUUACCCAAGGUUGACCUCGGAUCAGGUAGGAAGACCCGCUGAACUUAAGCAUAUCAAUAAGCGGAGGA
rnacentral:misc_RNA from 1 species